rnacentral:hammerhead_ribozyme from 1 species
CGAUGCUGAGGAGUCCCAUAAUAGGACGAAACGGCCGUCCAGUGC